rnacentral:rRNA from 1 species
AUGAACGCUGGCGGCGUGCCUAACACCUGCAAGUCGAGCGGCAGCGAGGGGUGCUUGCACCCUGUCGGCGAGCGGCGGACGGCUGAGUAACGCGUGGGAACGUGCCCCAAAGUGAGGAAUAACUGCCCGAAAGGGUAGCUAAUACCGCAUAUUAUCUUCGGAUCAAAGGAUUUAUCCGCUUUGGGAGCGGCUCGCGUCGGAUUAGGUAGUUGGUGAGGUAAUGGCUCACCAAGCCGACGAUCCGUAGCUGGUCUGAGAGGAUGACCAGCCAGACUGGAACUGAGACACGGUCCAGACUCCUACGGGAGGCAGCAGUGAGGAAUCUUCCACAAUGGGCGAAAGCCUGAUGGAGCAACGCCGCGUGCAGGACGAAGGCCUUCGGGUUGUAAACUGCUUUUAUAAGUGAGGAAUAUGACGGUAACUUAUGAAUAAGGAGCGGCUAACUACGUG